rnacentral:rRNA from 1 species
AACGUUGUUGCAGUUAAAAAGCUCGUAGUUGAAGUGAGGGAGUGUGUGUUCGUGAGAACUAGUCUCGAGGGUUCGCAACCUCCCCCCUCCAAUCGGUGUAGUGGGGUAUUCAGUUAUUUCACUACUCCUUUGGUCGUUUACUGUGAGAAAAUUAGAGUGUUCAAAGCGGGCGUUUGUUUGAAUAGAUUAGCAUGGAAUAAUGAUUGAAGGCUUUCGUGUUCGAUUUGAUUGGUUUGUUCAUGGAAGCAAGGUUAAAAGGAACAGUUGGGGGUAUUCAUAUUCACUAGUUAGAGGUGAAAUUCUCGGAUUUAUGGAAGAUGAA